UAGUCCUGGACACAAAAAGACUUCCUUGAC
rnacentral:piRNA from 1 species